UCCGACGUGUGCUCUUCUGAACCAGAAACCAAGCCGCAGUGAGAGGGUCAGUGAUGGUGGGCAGGUGUGCCUUCUCUUAAAGGACUGGAGGAGGUUAGUAAUUAGAGAUGGUAUCAUGUACCGGCGCGUCCGAGACUGCCAAAGGGGAGUAGUGGAGCAACUUGUACUGCCAGAGAAGCUGCGUGAACGGGUCAAGACAGCUCUUCAUGAUGACUCGGGGCACUUAGGUUUUGAGAGGACUGUGCAGAUGAUAAGAGAGAGA